CCCUGGCUCAGGACGAACGCGGCGGCGUGCUUAACACAUGCAAGUCGAACGGUGAUGGCCAGCUUGCUGGUCUGAUCAGUGGCGAACGGGUGAGUAACACGUGAGCAACCUACCCCAGACUCUGGAAUAACCAUGGGAAACGAUGGCUAAUACCGGAUACGAGACGCACACGCAUGUGUGGUGUCUGGAAAGAUUUAUCGGUCUGGGAUGGGCUCGCGGCCUAUCAGCUUGUUGGUGGGGUAGUGGCCUACCAAGGCGACGACGGGUAGCCGGCCUGAGAGGGCGACCGGCCACACUGGGACUGAGAUACGGCCCAGACUCCUACGGGAGGCAGCAGUGGGGAAUAUUGCACAAUGGGCGCAAGCCUGAUGCAGCGACGCCGCGUGAGGGAUGACGGCCUUCGGGUUGUAAACCUCUUUCAGCAGGGAAGAAGCGAAAGUGACGGUACCUGCAGAAGAAG
rnacentral:rRNA from 1 species